GUUCAACAGAAAUAAACACAAGUGGGAAAUUAUUAUUCCAACGUUUCUUCUGUUGCUGCAUUUCAGUGUUUGAAAUUGCAAGACCGAAUUCAGAUCUUCAGAAAUUAUUGAUGAAUGGCAUAUAUCUCAUAAAUAAUGGAUGAAACAUUGGACGACCAUGCAGUUGAGCAUUAUCUAUGCAAGAAAUCACAGAUGAGCAAGCUUACUUGUCUGACUUCGGAGGAGAUUCAGAUGCAGAGGAUGUUGCACCCACAGUAACCAACUCACAAAGCAGAAUAACUAGCAGAUCAAGAUACUAUACUUCCCUGUCGGUCCACCUAUUGUGAUACAAUGCAACCAUGGGAAGAAGGGCAAAGCAUACCGCUGUUCAGAAAUCACUCCAAACAUUCGAAAACGUUUUUACGAGCUAUUUUAUGAUUCUUCAGUGAGGCCAAGCGAGAUGAAAAAUAAGCAGGAUUUCUUUAUUUUGAAACACAUAGAUGCCACAAAACCUAUGCUCUCUAGAACCUAAACCUAAAACCUAAUCAUAGCUCUCUAGACUAAUAUUGCUCUAUGUCUAUGUUGUCAAGAGCUGCAAACAAAAUUAGUCAUAACCAAAAAGUUACAGAAAAUGAGAAGUUGUAUUGUGGAAAGUAUUAUUGUAACAGUCGUAUAUUUACUUGAUUUGUUAUAAAACAGAUUGUUAUUUCAAGUGGAGUGCAAGUUAUUUUAUUAACAAUGCCGAGGUCAUCCAGAAUAUUCAAAAAAAGGAAAGUUCA